UUAUCCCCCCUCCCCCUCGUUCCCCACCGCUGAAAUCUUAUCCUCUCGACCUCUCGCCCCGAUUCUUCCUCUUCUUCCCCUUCCCUCUCACUUUCCUCAUCUUCAUUCGCCAGGCAACUGUGUCGACGGAAGACGCUGGAGACGAUGCACGGCAGGGUGUCUUGCUGCGAGAAGCUUCCGUCGUCCGGGCGCGCUUCGAUGCUGCCAGAGGAGGCGCUGUCGUGCUCGCCUACACGCGCAAGCUGCGGGUUUUUUUGCAAUGCAGGGGCUCGCUGCUGCUAGCCCGCAUGAGCUGGCUCCAAGGGUCGGGCGCUACAACUUGAGGAGCUCCAAGCUGACUACCUGUUGUGGCUCUACGGAGUUGCUCAUGCGACGCGGGGCCGUCCGUCCUCCUGCUGAUUGGAUUGUGCUUCUUCGUUCUGUUCCCUUCUUCCUCUGGUUGUUGAUGCCUCAAGCAGCCGCUGCCGAUUAUGUGCUUGUAGUUGUUUCUUCAGUUCCCUUCCUCUGCUUGUAGAUGCCUCAAGCAGCUGGUGUAUAUAAAUUGAUCCUAUUGAUUACAAA